CGUACACGCGUGGACUUAUAGGAGACGGACAAGCGGGCAGGGGAGGAGAGGAGAGGCCAGAGGGAAAUAAGCGGAUGGUUCAAUCCAAAGGGAGAAGCUAAGUACACGAGAAGGAUUUGUCCGGAAGCUUCGAAGGUCACUCGGACCUGAGUGCAACAUGUCCUGCCGGCAAAUAUUAGACUGCAGGGUGCCAUCCAAGCAAAGUGAAUGGUUUGGAUUUAUUUUGAAGUAUCUUCGGGUUUGCCUCUGAAAUUCUACACUUUCCUUCCACGAAAAUGCAGGAAACCAGGAGGGGAAUCACUUCAUUUAGGACCCUCCAAGUUAAUUUUGGCUGGCACAGAAAACUCUGAUCAUCAUAAACAAUCAAUUCAUGUA